UUCUUUUUUUCAGAUAGUGCCCUGUAUCAAGGCCGAUGUCAACGUUCCAUGCGCUUCUGGGAAUGUGAAUAGGCUUGUUUGGGCAGUGACACGGCUUGCAGCCGUGACUAGGCAGCGGUAACUACGAAGAGACAACAAUUACCGACCCGUCUACACGAUAUCACAAUGCACCGGUGGAGAAUAGCAGCAGCCGUGGCGCUGGCCUGCGCUGCCGUCUGCCUGGGUGACGAUACUACCGAACCAAGCAUAAGCCCUUCGCCAGCCACAGCCGGAACCAUGACGACACCAGAGUCGCCGAACUCCGGGUCCACGGUCGCUGCCAGUGCCGGACCUACGGCCGCCUCUACAGCUGCCAGCGCCGCCAGCGCCGCCUCUGACCCAGGGGGCAGCACGGCCGCGGCCGACCCGGCCACCUCGGCCUCCUCCGCGUCACCGCCGGCGACGGAUGACGUCAGCGCGUCGACACCGACAGCAGCCGACGGUGACGGCGCGUCGACCGCGGCGGAGCCGUCUGCGGAGGGCGAGGCGGCGGUGGAGGUGACGACGACGGCGGCAACUGAGACGACAGAGGCUCCGAGCCCGGCGGCGGCCGUCGACAGCUCGGCGGAGACGGAGACGACCGAGACCGCCACAGAGUCAACAGAGGGCUCAGCAGCCACUACAGCGGCGUCAACUGCUGCAGAGACAGCCACGACGGCAUCUCCAGCUGCCCAGACCUCUGCUGAAACGGUCCCGGAGGCAACGGAGUCUCAAGCGUCUGGGUCACCGCCCGCAGCGUCCACUGACGGACCAUCGGAGCCUGAGACCACCAUAGCCGCAGAAACGACGGCCACCACAGCAGCUGAUGAGACCUCAGCGGCCACAGAGGCCCCUGUGGUGACCACCACACCCCCACCAGCGCCUACCACCCAGCCAUCGACUGCAGCACCGACCGCAGCUGGGGACACAUCUCCAGCGGUCUCCCCAGCUGGGACGCGGCCGCCGAGCCCCGGGCCGGCUGGUGUCAGCAGUGCGGGGACAGAGCCGACAGCUGCCUCCCCGGCCGUCAGCACCGAGCACCCGGCUAAUGUGACAGCCAGUGAGCGGACCAGUGAACGGACCACGGCCACACCGCCCGUGGAGACCUACGGCUACCCGAGGAGUAUGAUGGCGGAUGAGAUGACUCGUCCUGAGACUGAGGGCGUCGUCACCAUGGUGCUGCUGCCGCGCCGGAUCAGCUUCCUGGCCUGGAUGGGGGUGAAGGAGAGCCUGCUGAGGUCGACCAUCCUCAACAUCACCAGAGACAGCGUUUCCAACGACACGGAGCUGGAGUGGGUUUACGUGUCGCCUUCUCCUGUCUACCGUCCGCCGCACAUACUGCUCCACUUCCUGAUCGUAUGGCGGGGCGAUCGGCCAGCACUGAGCACCGUUACACCGACCGGCGGCCCUGCCAGCACCUCAGCGGCCGGCUCCGCGCCGCCGGCCACCGCGACUCCGCUGACCUCUGACCCGGCGCCGACCCCGGCGACCUCUGACCCCUCACCGACACCCGCGGCGCGCCGGCGGCGGCGGCGGGCGGCCAGCGCCGACAGGGAGGGGGCCAUACCCGCCUGGAUGCUGGCCGAAAUGAUCGCGGACAACGCCGAGGAGAUCGGAGACAUGGUGUCUGCGGACGUGGAAUCGACCUCGGCCGGCCUGGGCCCGCCCUCGUCCUCCUGCUCCCAGGAGGAGGGCCUGCUGGGCAGCAGUGGUCAGGUGAUGGUGAUCCUGGCCGCCGCCGCCGCCUGCUGUCUGUGCCUGGCGUGCGGCGCGCUCGUCUACGUGCGCCUGGUGCGCGACUCGGGCCACUGGGAGCCGCAGCCCGCCUACCACGAAGGGGAGCGAGUCGGAGGGCUGGACCUGCACUCGGACGCCGACUGCAAGAAGGGCGAGGAGCCGCCGGACGGCACCGGAGCCGAAGUGGUGCCGCUCACCGACGUAUCCAGAACGUCGCCCGGCUCUCAGCGCGGCGACGCCAGGGUCUGACGGCUGUCCGGGGUCUGCCCUGAUCUGACGGCUGCCCAGGGUCUGUUUGGGGUCUGUCCGAGGUCUGCUGAGGUCUGCCGAGGUCUGCCGGGGGUCUGCCCGUAUAAUCUCUCCGGGAUCUGACGGCUGCCCGUGGUCAGCCCGCGGCCUGACGGCUGUUCGAGAUCUGCUCGGGGUCUGCCCGGGGCCUGCCCGGGACCUGGCGCCCGUUCGCAGGCGACACCGCGGUAUGAUGAUUCGCUCUGGAGACGUCUUGGUCUGGCAUAGUGCGACGAUGGAAAAGGCUUCAGGAUCUGACCGAACGCGGAUGAUUCUGUGGGGUCAGGUAGUGCUUGGGUCUGAAAGUGUGGAACGAAGAAGCCAUCGGAAUCCAUCGGGAACAGAGACGACGCCAGAAUCUGGUGAGACACCUCGACGGUGGAAGCCCAUGACAAUUAGUCACGGUGUGCUGCUCUUAUUGUCGUAGUGGGGACGGCUAGAGACCAAAGGGAUUGGAAACCUGCAUUGGCUCGCACUGUGUGAUGCUCGAGGUAGAUAGCGAAGUACUUCGAACCAGAUACAGAACAAUAAAACAGUUUGUAUGCGUGAGUCGUGACUAGAAAUAGCAGGAGGAACGCGUUCAUCAGUGAUGUAAUACGAAACAUAGGCAUAAGUUGGGCAUAAGGUAUCUUCUAGUGCGAAUUGGCACUAAUUCUUCCUUGCAGGACAGUUCCAAUGCUUAUUUAGCAUUUAGGCACUCAAAUCGCGCCACAAUAGCGAUUUGCGACAGUUGCAUUGCAAAUGUAUUAGGAUCAAAGAAGUAGUGCUAUGAGACAGUCUGUGGUGCCACUUUAGAGCUUAUGCUAUUUACUGGAUUUUUUUAUAAGGUGCGUGUUCAUUGUCUGAUAGUAAGUCCGUAUGCGUGUCCUUGUUUCGUUUGCUUUUAGCUUCGCAGUUUGUUGUCGAGCGUCAAUGUUAUUUUGUGUCGCACAACUCAGUGCCCACUUUAUCUAGGCACUUGUUGGGUCGUAAAUUGAAUAAAUAUGACAAUGAGCUAA